ACCCGGAUGCGAACCGGGGGUGUCCGGAUCAAAACCGAAAGKGAUAACCACYACACUAUACAACC
rnacentral:tRNA from 1 species